UCCAUUUCUCUACAGACUGUAUCAACCGUUAUCUGCUAUCUCAUUCAGCGUGAUCAACGAUCGAAAGAGAGGCUGUAGUGCGGAUAUCGUCUGCUUCUCUCAACCAGGUGUUAUUAUCGCGAUUUAUUGACGAGAUUUCUAGAAGGAAACAAGUUUAGUUAAAAGGAUAUUUAUUUUUUUCUUAUCCGACUCACACCGGUUUGGAAUUUUUGGGGGGGCUAUUAACAUGUUUUGUGAUUUUGAUAACGGAUCUUUAUUUACCAUUAACAGUUAAAAUGUCUGAAACGGUUUGGAGACCCAUGAUUCUUUGGAUGGUGACAGUGGUGUUAUUAGUGAAUAUUGCUGAAAUAUUUGGUAGUAAUUCGCAUGAUAACCCCUUCGCCAAUACGGUUUUUGGCGGGAAUGAAGUCAAUAUGUCUAUGCCAUGUCCUGCCAAAUGUCUGUGCAGCCGGGAAGAUAUGAAUGUACGUGUGGACUGUUCCGGACAAAAUCUAACAAGUAUUCCGCAGAAUUUUAACCGUUACACAACCCAUUUAGAUUUGAGCAUGAACAACAUCACCAUUAUACCAGAAGGAACUUUUAAUAAAUUACACCAUUUACGAGAACUACGCCUUGUGAGCAACACUAUUAAACAUCUUCCAAACAGACUCCUGAAAAAUAACAAACUUUUACAAGUUCUCUGUUUACAAGGAAAUCGGUUCAAGGAAAUUCCAAGUCAUGCCAUUAAGAACCUCAGAAAUUUGCAACAAUUACAUCUAGACGCUAAUGAAAUAGAUUAUGUACCAACCGACAGUUUUAAAAAUAUGGUUUCUUUGAAAAAUGUUUAUUUGAAUGCUAAUAAACUUCAAACCGUUCCUGUAGAAGCUUUAAAGCAUAUAUCAUCCUUGGAA